rnacentral:rRNA from 1 species
CCUACGGGAGGCAGCAGUGAGGAAUAUUGGACAAUGGCCGGAAGGCUGAUCCAGCCAUGCCGCGUGCGGGAAGACGGCCCUAUGGGUUGUAAACCGCUUUUGUUGGGGAGCAAUAAGGAGCACGUGUGCUUCGAUGAGAGUACCCAGCGAAUAAGCAUCGGCUAACUCCGUGCCAGCAGCCGCGGUAAU